CCAGAGAACUUAGCAGAGAUGCUUUGGUGCCUUCGGGAACUCUGAGACAGGCGCUGCAUGGCUGUCGUCAGCUCGUGUUGUGAAAUGUUGGGUUAAGUCCCGCAACGAGCGCAACCCCUAUCCUUUGUUGCCAGCGAUUCGGUCGGGAACUCAAAGGAGACUGCCGGUGAUAAACCGGAGGAAGGUGGGAUGACGUCAAGUCAUCAUGGCCUUUACGAGUAGGGCUACACACGUGCUACAAUGGCGCAUACAAAGAGAAGCGACCUCGCGAGAGCAAGCGGACCUCAUAAAGUGCGUCGUAGUCCGGAUUGGAGUCUGCAACUCGACUCCAUGAAGUCGGAAUCGCUAGUAAUCGUAGAUCAGAAUGCUACGGUGAAUACGUUCCCGGGCCUUGUACACACCGCCCGUCACACCAUGGGAGUGGGUUGCAAAAGAAGUAGAUAGCUUAACCUUCGGGAGGGCGUUUACCACUUUGUGAUUCAUGACUGGGGUGAAGUCGUAACAAGGUAAGCGUAGCGAG
rnacentral:rRNA from 1 species